GGGGAUUUAGCUCAGUGGUAGAGUGCUUGCCUAGCAAGCGCAAGGCUCUGGGUUCGGUCCCCAGCUCCA
rfam:Rattus norvegicus chromosome 8, whole genome shotgun sequence.